GGAUACCUUUUCGAAACUAAAAGAGCUAAGAUGGCGCCCAAGUUGAAGCCAAAGUCUCCAAGUAAGGGUUAUGGAAAUGGACUUGGAUCCUUUAUACUCGACUUUUAUCGCGACCCAGCAAAAUGGGUAAUUAUCAAACAUACUGGUAUAUUUAUUGCUGCAGUGCUUGCUGCAAGGGAAUUCUCAGAUAUUGAUUURAUGGCSCCACCUCAACCGCCUGGUCCUUGAAUGGGUGAAUGAUGGGGUUUAAGCAAAAACGUACAGACAUUUGGAGAUGGAGAAAGUGUGUGGAAGAAUCUACAAUUAUUGUAUAACUUGUACAUUGAUGUCAUUAUAUGCAUUUUUUUAUCAAGCAAUAAAUAAAGAUUACAAUUAUUA